GCGCCUGUAGCUCAGGGGAUAGAGCACGGGUUUCCUAAACCCGGUGUCGGAGGUUCGAAUCCUUCCAGGCGCA
rnacentral:tRNA from 1 species